GAGUUUGAUCAUGGCUCAGAUUGAACGCUGGCGGCAGGCUUAACACAUGCAAGUCGAGCGGAAACGAUGGGAGCUUGCUCCCAGGCGUCGAGCGGCGGACGGGUGAGUAACGCGUAGGAAUCUACCCAGUAGUGGGGGAUAGCCCGGGGAAACUCGGAUUAAUACCGCAUACGCCCUACGGGGGAAAGGCCGGGAUCUUCGGACCGGUCGCUAUUGGAUGAGCCUGCGUUGGAUUAGCUAGUUGGUAGGGUAAAGGCCUACCAAGGCGACGAUCCAUAGCUGGUCUGAGAGGAUGAUCAGCCACACUGGAACUGAGACACGGUCCAGACUCCUACGGGAGGCAGCAGUGGGGAAUAUUGGACAAUGGGCGCAAGCCUGAUCCAGCCAUACCGCGUGUGUGAAGAAGGCCUUCGGGUUGUAAAGCACUUUAAGCAGGGAGAAAAAGUUAUAAGUUAAUACCUUAUAACCCUGAUGUUACCUGCAGAAUAAGCACCGGCUAAUUCCGUGCCAGCAGCCGCGGUAAUACGGAAGGUGCAAGCGUUAAUCGGAAUUACUGGGCGUAAAGCGCGCGUAGGUGGUUUGUUAAGUUGGAUGUGAAAGCCCUGGGCUCAACCUAGGAACUGCAUCCAAAACUAACUCACUAGAGUACGAUAGAGGGAGGUAGAAUUCAUAGUGUAGCGGUGGAAUGCGUAGAUAUUAUGAAGAAUACCAGUGGCGAAGGCGGCCUCCUGGAUCUGUACUGACACUGAGGUGCGAAAGCGUGGGUAGCGAACAGGAUUAGAUACCCUGGUAGUCCACGCCGUAAACGAUGACAACUAGCUGUUGGGAGACUAUGUCUUUCAGUGGCGCAGCUAACGCUUUAAGUUGUCCGCCUGGGGAGUACGGCCGCAAGGCUAAAACUCAAAUGAAUUGACGGGGACCCGCACAAGCGGUGGAGCAUGUGGUUUAAUUCGAUGCAACGCGAAAAACCUUACCUACUCUUGACAUACUUGGAGGCUCUUGUAAUGAGAGUGUGCCUUUUGGAACCAAGAUACAGGUGCUGCAUGGCUGUCGUCAGCUCGUGUCGUGAGAUGUUCCGUUAAGUCGGAUAACGAGCGCAACCCUUACCCUUAUUUGCCAGCGAUUCGGUCGGGAACUAUAAGGGGACUGCCGGUGAUAAACCGGAGGAAGGUGAGGACGACGUCAAGUCAUCAUGGCCCUUACGAGUAGGGCUACACACGUGCUACAAUGGGAGAUACAGACGGACGCUAAGCCGCGAGGUGGUGCUAAUCCUAAAAAGUCUUUCGUAGUCCGGAUUGGAGUCUGCAACUCGACUCCAUGAAGUCGGAAUCGCUAGUAAUCGCGGAUCAGCAUGCCGCGGUGAAUACGUUCUCGGGUCUUGUACACACCGCCCGUCACACCAUGGAAGUGGAUUGCACCAGAAGUAGAUAGUCUAACCUUAGGGAAGGCGUUUACCACGGUGUGCUUCAUGACUGGGGUGAAGUCGUAACAAGGUAACC
rnacentral:rRNA from 1 species